rnacentral:rRNA from 1 species
GUUUGAUCCUGGCUCAGGACGAACGCUUGAGUUUGAUCCUGGCUCAGGACGAACGCUGGCGGCGUGCCUAAUACAUGCAAGUCGAGCGGACAGAUGGGAGCUUGCUCCCUGAUGUUAGCGGCGGACGGGUGAGUAACACGUGGGUAACCUGCCUGUAAGACUGGGAUAAACUCCGGGAAACCGGGGCUAAUACCGGAUGGUUGUUUGAACCGCAUGGUUCAAACAUAAAAGGUGGCUCGGCUACCACUUACAGAUGGACCCGCGGCGCAUUAGCUAGUUGGUGAGGUAACGGCUCACCAAGGCAACAUGCAGUCCGACCUGAGAGGGUGAUCGGCCACACUGGGACUGAGACACGGCCCAGACUCCUACGGGAGGCAGCAGUAGGGAAUCUUCCGCAAUGGACGAAAGUCUGACGGAGCAACGCCGCGUGAGUGAUGAAGGUUUUCGUCGUAAAGCUCUGUUGUUAGGGAAGAACAAGUACCGUUCGAAUAGGGCGGUACCUUGACGGUACCUAACCAGAAAGCCACGGCUAACAAUACGUGCCAGCAGCCGCGGUAAUACGUAGGUGGCAAGCGUUGUCCGGAAAAUUGGGGGCGUAAAGGGCUCGCAGGCGGUUUCUUAAGUCUGAUGUGAAAGCCCCCGGCUCAACCGGGGAGGGUCAUUGGAAACUGGGGAACUUGAGAGAAGAGGAGAGUGGAAUUCCACGUGUAGCGGUGAAAUGCGUACCGAGAUGUGGAGGAACACCAGUGGCGAAGGCGACUCUCUGGUCUGUAACUGACGCUGAGGAGCGAAAGCGUGGGGAGCGAACAGGAUUAGAUACCCUGGUAGUCCACGCCGUAAACGAUGAGUGCUAAGUGUUAGGGGGUUUCCGCCCCUUAGUGCUGCAGCUAACGCAUUAAGCACUCCGCCUGGGGAGUACGGUCGCAAGACUGAAAACUCAAAGGAAUUGACGGGGGCCCGCACAAGUUGUGGAGCAUGUGGUUUAAUUCGAAGCAACGCGAAGAACCUUACCAGGUCUUGACAUCCUCUGACAAUCCUAGAGAUAGGACGUCCCCUUCGGGGGCAGAGUGACAGGUGGUGCAUGGUUGUCGUCAGCUCGUGUCGUGAGAUGUUGGGUUAAGUCCCGCAACGAGCGCAACCCUUGAUCUUAGUUGCCAGCAUUCAGUUGGGCACUCUAAGGUGACUGCCGGUGACAAACCGGAGGAAGGUGGGGAUACGUCAAAUCAUCAUGCCCCUUAUGACCUGGGCUACACACGUGCUACAAUGGACAGAACAAAGGGCAGCAAACCGCGAGGUUAAGCCAAUCCCACAAAUCUGUUCUCAGUUCGGAUCGCAGUCUGCAACUCGACUGCGGAAGCUGGAAUCGCUAGUAAUCGCGGAUCAGCAUGCCGCGGUGAAUACGUUCCCGGGCCUUGUACACACCGCCCGUCACACCACGAGAGUUUGUAACACCCGAAGUCGGUGAGGUAACCUUUUAGGAGCCAGCCGCCGAAGGUGGGACAGAUGAUUGGGGUGAAGUCGUAACAAGGUUCGGAAGGUGUGGCUGGAGCCGUA